UGUUUUUGUAGUUGAUGUACAACGGUGGUUUUUCAGAUCACAGGUCUGAGAGAGUAGAAACU
rnacentral:tRNA from 1 species